GAAGGGGGCGGGGCGAGGCGGCGUGUGGGCGGGAAAGCGGAAAGGGGGGGGCGCGCGCGCCGCCGGAAGCAGUGCCGCCAGCCGGUGAGGCCGCGUCACGGUAACGUCAGCAGUCCCUGGGCACUCCUUUCCCCCACCCACCCACCUCGCCGUCCGCGAACGGGCGGUGGGCUGAGGACCCUUGGUGGAGUAGCCGCCCUUCUCCUGUCUAUACUCUCUCGGGACCCCAGCGCUAAGGUGAUCUCCACUCCGGGGGGGCCGGCGAUGACCGCGCGCCGUGACUCUCCCACGCGCGCUCCUCCCAUAGGCGUCUCUGGCGCGACGCGUGGGAGAGAACGUUACCGUCAAUUUUUUUUUGUCAACUGUGGGAAAAUGGGCGAGAAAAUGGAACGGGACAGGAACAACGGUACAAUAACUUCAUUUGAAUGCAGUCCCGAGUGCUCCCAGCUCGAUGCUGUCACCCAGAGCCCGUCACUGAAACACAUGCAGUCCUUAAAUCCUUCGCUGGCACUCUUGGCUUUUGUCCCUGCCCUUGCAGUAGCUGCCCUGUCCUGCAUGGGUUUUUACUUCAUCUUUCCUUAUCGCCUCUUUUCCUCAAAAAUCCUCAUAUUUUGUAUAUGUUUUCUAAUCUUGACUCCUGUUUGGAAUCAGGUACAAGCCUUUUAAGAAAGAAAAAGUCUAUGGGUAUCCAUAGAUUCAGAUGCAAUUGUUCUUUCGUGAUGUCUGGGCUUCGAGAUUUUUUUAAAGUUACCUAGCGAUUCUCAUGCACAACUCUUGGAGAACUUCACUAUUAAAAGCCUCUGUUUCUGUGACCCUGUCUAAGCAUCGUUUUGCAGCUUCAUCUCCCGCAGGUGUAACAGAUGCUCAUGCUGAUCGCAAGGCCCGAGUAGACUUCCCAGCACAUCCUCUGAAGCAGUGGUGUCAAGCUGCAGCUCAUUUGCUCUCUGGGGGGACAUUCUACAACCUCUGGAGACACUGAGUCGUCAGGUGACUGUGUCUCAAGAUGUGAACUCACAGCUGCUACCCAGUACCAGGCCUGCCUGCCACCAUGCUGCCAGCCAUGAUGGUCACGGACUCUAACCCUCUAAAACUGUAAGCCCCAAAUAAACUCUUCUCUAAGC